AUGCUCCAACCAAGGGAAGCUGAUGUGCCUGCACUCUUUGUUGUAUUUAUCGUACUUCCGGUGAUAGCAUAUUUUCUUCUUGGGAGAUGGCAUGAUUCUGUAAGUAAGAAAACAAGAGUAGGUGUGCUUGGCCAGAAAGCUGCAGAAGAAGCCUUCAAAGUAGAAACAAUGGCAUGCCCAGAUGUUAUAUUGCCAGGACCGUCUCUGAGACCCAUGCCUUAUUUGAGAUCUGUUCCUUCUUUAAGGUCAGAAUACCACGAGUGUGCUACUUGUCGUGGCCCUGCAAAGACUAGGUGCUCCAGGUGCAAAUCUGUUAGAUACUGCUCUGGAAAGUGUCAAAUUAUACACUGGAGGCAAGGGCAUAAACAAACAUGCCAGCAGUGGCAUGUUAAUGGUGGUAGCAACUCUGGUGGACUAUCUCCGACGGAGAGUUCUGAACAAAUGCCGUUCUUGACUAACCUGAAUUCACCUCUUCCAGGGGGUGACAGUCACCUGCAUGACAUGAAUUUUGACACAGUAUCAGAGCCAUCCUUUGCGACAACUGAUAGCUAUAUUCUUGAUACUGAUCUAUUCCUGACAGACAGAAGCAACAUGAAUGAAUCAAAUCAAAGUCUUCUUUCAAGAGUAAAUAGCGCUUCUGUUGCAUCUUGUGAAAAGAGCAAUUACAGUGUUGAUGAAGAAACCAACUCAUCUGAGAUUUUAUCAGCAAAUAAGGUUUCAAACAACAGUUAUGGUUGUUUGGAUGAAAAGAAUGGCAACCAUGAUUUUACUUAUCCUCUCAAUAAUACGGUACAACAACCCAAUAAUUGUGCUCCUGAAACAACAAAAUGUCCAAAAGCAAGCAUCACAGUUUAUGAACCCGACAUGGGUGUCUAUUUUACUUCUGAUAUGACGAGUUCUUGCGAGGGGCCAUAUUCUUCCGCAACAGAGUCACUACAGAGGAGCAAAUCAUCUGGAAAAUAUAGUGGGCGAGGAAAUGCGAUCUAUAUGAAGCCUCCUUAUCCACCAGGUAAGGUGGCUUCAUCACAAAAAACGCAGGAGGUGUUGGCAUCAUAUCAAUACAAUGUCCAUGAAAAGAACACUUCGUGCAAAAAUGAGCAAAGAUCUGCAAAAUCAAGUGUUUCAACGAACAACAAUUUACAAGGAUGCACUGGAAUCUCAAAAUUAGGAGCAUCCAAGGUUGAAGUCUUGAAGAAGCCCUCAAAAUUUCUCAAAACCAGCCUGGUGGGUUUAAUCAAUGAUAACAAGAGGAGUAAGGUAUUGUUUCACUAUGAAGAUCUUGUUAAGUUCUUCCAGUAUGAAGUACGGGGUAUUUCUCCCAGAGGUCUUUUCAACUGUGGGAACAGCUGCUAUGCUAAUGCUGUUCUACAAUGCCUCAUGUGCACAAAACCCCUGAUGAUCCACCUGCUUCUGAGAUUGCAUUCUAAAGACUGUUGCUCAAAGAACUGGUGUCUUAUGUGCGAACUUGAGCAAUAUGCUUCAACUUUACGUGAAAGUGGUGGACCUGUGUCUCCAAGCAGAAUCCUUUCGAAUCUAAGGAACAUUGGAUGUCGCUUGGGUGGUGGAAGUCAGGAAGAUGCUCAUGAAUUUUUAAGGCAUCUUGUGAUGUCUAUGCAAGCAGCGUGCCUGGAUGGACUGGGUGGUGAGAAGCAAGUAGAACAAAGCUUGCAGGAAACUACACUGAUACAACAGAUGUUUGGUGGACGCCUUAAAUCAAAGGUUAAGUGCCUCAGAUGCCAUCAUGAAUCUGAAAGAUACGAGAAUAUAAUGGAUCUUACUUUGGAGAUUCAUGGUUGGGUGGAGUCCUUGCAAGAUGCUUUGACACAGUUCACUGCUCCUGAAGAUUUAGAUGGGGAUAAUAUGUAUAAAUGUGGAAGGUGUUGUGCUUAUGUUAAAGCUAGAAAACAGCUAAGCGUGCAUGAAGUGCCAAACAUAUUAACAGUAGUUUUAAAAAGAUUCCAGACAGGAAAGUAUGGCAAGAUUAACAAAUGUGUCACUUUUCCUGAUAUGUUGGACAUGGUUCCUUUUGUGACUGGGGCUGGUGAUCACCCGCCUCUUUACUUCUUGUAUGCUGUGGUUGUACAUGUGGAUACAGAAAAUGCAUCAUUCUCUGGUCACUACAUAUCGUAUGUCAAAGAUAUGCAGGGAACAUGGUUAAGAAUUGAUGACUCAGAGGUCAAGGCUGUAUCAUUGAAUCAAGUUAUGUCAGAAGGUGCAUAUAUGCUAUUCUACUUGAGAUCUUUUCCUCGCCCUCCGAGGAUAUACAUUGAGAAAGGCCUAUUGCCUGAUCCAUCAUCUUCAUAUCGUCACUCAUCAAAAUCCUCCAAGGGCUCUUCUAAACAAGAGCAGAAGCAGACAGAAUCACUCUUUACUUCUGAUGAUCAAAUCCGUGGUAUUUAUGAUUUUAGACCAGAGGAGGAAGGUUACAGGCAAGAUCAGCAUGCCAAGUUGAGGUCCCAAAAUUUAUAUCACACCGAUGAUGCUUUUGCCGAUUCGGUUAGCACAGACUUCUCGGACGCUACAUCAAGUGAAUGGUCCCUGUUUACCAGCUCUGAUGAAUCUUCGUUUACCACGGAAAGCACUAGAGAUUCAUUCAGUGUUGUGGAUUAUGGUGACAAUGCUGGCCUUGAUCCAAUCACCUCAAUUUUUGGGCCAUAUUAUGCUCCUGACCAUCCUCUUGGCAACUUUGUCUCAUGUACAAGGCUCUCGCCUUCCAAUCCGCAAACAAGGUACUUCCCGGAAAGCAUGGGUUUUGUCUCAGAUUCUUCCUUGCCAACUCACCCCUACGGCAAUGUACAUAGAGGAAGAUAUCCAGACAGGGCUUGCGCGUCUUCAGCCGAACCUCUUGCUUCAGCAAACCAGCGAAGCUUGUAUGGUAGGUAUAACCAUAGUAGAGAUGGUUUUGUUCAAACAUCUGGGUUUUGUCAUAUGUAA
rnacentral:rRNA from 1 species